rnacentral:lncRNA from 1 species
AGAGAUAGAGAUAGAGAUAUAAAGAGAGAGAGAAGACGCUUUCUCGUAAAUAAAUAAUUUGAUAACCGACGUGAUUUACUAAGAAAAUAUUAAUUUCCAUCUUUAGCGUGUUUACUUUUUUUUUUCUUUUUUUUUUUCUUUUACUUUUUUGGUGUCUCAGAUCUGGGCGUUCGGAUAUCGGAUCGGGUUCGGUUCGGAUUUUUCGGUUUUCGGAUUUUUUAGAUAUUGAUUCUAAC